UAAGAGACAAGAGUGUAUC
rnacentral:piRNA from 1 species